rnacentral:rRNA from 1 species
CCCUUAGAUGUUCUGGGCCGCACACGCGCUACACUGAAGGAGGCAGCGUGUACUCCUGGAUCGAAAGAUUUGGGUAACCCGCGAAUCUCCUUCGUGCUAGGGAUUGAGGUUUGCAAUUAUCCUUCAUGAACGAGGAAUUCCCAGUAAGUGCAAGUCAUAAGCUUGCGCUGACUACGUCCCUGCCCUUUGUACACACCGCCCGUCGCUACUACCGAUUGAAUGAUUUAGUGAGGACUUCGGACUGGGACCGAUGCGGCUUUCGGGCUGCGUCGGUAUUCUGGAAAGAUGUCCAAACUGUNUNAUUUAGNGGAAGUAAAANUCGUANCA